UACGUAGGGUGCAAGCGUUAAUCGGAAUUACUGGGCGUAAAGCGUGCGCAGACGGCUUUGCAAGACAGAUGUGAAAUCCCCGGGCUCAACCUGGGAACUGCAUUUGUGACUGCAAGGCUAGAGUACGGUAGAGGGGGAUGGAAUUCCGCGUGUAGCAGUGAAAUGCGUAGAUAUGCGGAGGAACACCGAUGGCGAAGGCAAUCCCCUGGACCUGUACUGACGCUCAUGCACGAAAGCGUGGGGAGCAAACAGG
rnacentral:rRNA from 1 species